CAUCAUGUUCAGUUUUAGUUAGGCGGCGCGCGGCAGGAGGUUCAUCUGUGCGCAGCCGCAAAAAAUCUAAACAUGCGCUAAGUGUCGCAGCAGCGCGCGGGUUUUCCUUCACGUUUCUGGAAAGUUUGUCUCCACCCCUCCCUCGUGGGGCGCGCGGGUGGGACGUUGGGGGGGGGGGGGGUCUCCUCUCUGUGAUCCGGACUCCUCCGAUCCUCCGUCAUGACUUCUGCACGCGCGCGGAGGAAGAUGCUGCCGCUGCUGGUUCUGCUGCUGAGCGCGCUCAGCCGAACCGAGCAGCUCCAGUCCGAGCUGGACUCCGAGGACCUGGAGGACCUGGACUUGGACUUGAACCUGGAUCUGGAUCUGGCGCCGCGCAGAGUCCCGCGGCAGGUGAAGACCAUCCUGGCAAAGGAGACCAAACCUCACAUCCAGGAGCUUUCCAUCAAGACCACCAUCAUCUCCCGCUACGCCUUCACGGCGGUCCACUGCGCCAUGCUGAACCGGCACGUGGCCGCCGCGGAGGGGGUCUUCCAGUUCCAGAUCCCCGCCGACGCCUUCAUCUCCAACUUCACCAUGAUCGUUGGGGGGCGUGUCUACCAGAGCGAGGUCACAGCGAAGGAGAGGAAGGUCAAGCAAGGAAACGGCAAAGCCAAGAGCCAAGAGUCCGGUGAGAACAGUCCAGAACCGGAGGUGGAGGUCUUCCGGAUGGCGGUGAACAUCCCCGGGCGGAACCGGGCCGUCUUCCUGCUGACCUACGAGCAGCUGCUGCAGCGCCGGCUGGGCCGCUACCAACACGUCACCAGCCUGAGGCCGCUGCAGCUGGUCAGCCGCCUCAGCCUGGACGUGACCGUCGUGGACCACGCCCCCAUCACAGACCUGGAGGUGCUGCCGCUCCAAAGCGGCAGAACCAGCAGCUCUGCCAGCUCUGCAUCAGCCGGAUCCAACGCAGCAGCCAAGCCGGAGCUUCCCAUCACCACGGAGAUCAAACAGCAGCAGAACGUCUGGAGGAUCACCUUCAGCCCCAACAUCGUCCAGCAGGCCCGCAUCUCCACCAGCGGCGUCCUGGGAGACUUCGUCAUCCGCUACGACGUGCAGAGAGAGCUGGGGAUUGGAGACAUCCAGGUUCUGGACGGGCAUUUCGUGCACUACUUCGCCCCCAAAGACCUCCCCGCCGUCCCCAAGAACGUGGUGUUUGUGAUCGACACCAGCGCCUCCAUGCUGGGCGCCAAGAUGAGACAGACCAAAGAUGCUCUGUUCACCAUCCUGAAGGACCUGCGACCUGGAGAUCAUUUUAACUUCAUCAGCUUCUCCAAUAAGGUCAAAGUUUGGCAGCCGAACCGUCUGGUGCCGGUGACGCCACUCAACAUCAGAGACGCCAAGAAGUUCAUCCUCCUGCUGAUGCCCACCGGAGGCACCAACAUCGAUGGCGCCAUCCAGACGAGCUCCUCCGUGCUUCGGGACUACCUGUCCGGGUCUGACAGCGGUCCGAACAGCGUCUCCCUGAUCAUUUUCCUGACGGACGGACGGCCCACCACCGGAGAGGUGCAGUCGGCUACGAUCCUGGGGAACACGCGCUCAGCCGUGCAGGAGAAGUUCUGCAUCUUCACCAUCGGGAUCGGUAACGACGUGGAUUACCGGCUGCUGGAGCGCAUGGCGCUGGAUAACUGCGGGAUGAUGAGGCGGAUCCCCGAGGAGGCGGACGCCAGCGCCAUGCUUAAAGGGUUCUACGAUGAAAUAGGAACCCCUCUGCUGUCCGACAUAAGGAUCAACUACACAGAGAGCACGGUCGGAUACGUCACCCAGAACCUUUUCACCAACUACUUCAACGGCUCUGAGAUCGUCAUCGCCGGGAAGCUGACGAACUCCAGUGCAGAGUCCCUCCACGUGCAGGUCACCGCCAGCAACAACGACAAGAGCAUCGUCCUGGAGACCGACGUGCCUUUGCAGCAUCGACAGCUGGAGACUCGGAGGCACGUUAAGGAGGCCACCGCCGCAGUGGCGGCAGGAGCCAAAGCCCCAGCGUCAGGGUCGCUGUCAGGACUGGGCCUCCCUCUUGGUUCCAUCGCAGAACACUUUGCAGAGCGUGUCUGGGGUUUCCUGAGCGUCAAAGAAGGGCUGCGGUCGCGGCUGCGCAGUACCACCAGCAGAGAGAGAGAAGAUCACAUCCAACAGGCCACCAACCUGUCCUUGACCUACCACUUCCUCACUCCACUCACAAACAUGGUGGUGGAGAAGCCUGUGGUCCUAGCUGAUGGAACUAUGGAACCAGCCUCUACUGCAGCACCAGGGGGGGGCGAGGCUCCACCUGCUGCCAAUGACCUACCAGGUGAAGCCGAUGGUGAAACAGAACACGAGCCACUCAGGAGGCUGGGCAGCCAGACUGCCCCUUUGACCAACGUACUGGGUAAAGACAAGAGGAGACCGGCCAAGAAACCCAUCACCAUCUCCAAAACAUCAGCGGACGGUGACCCCCACUUUGUGGUCGAGUUCCCCCUCAGUAAGCUAACGGUGUGCUUCAACAUCAACGGUGAACCUGGACACGUCCUGCGCCUGGUUUCUGACCACAAACACUCCGGUGUUACAGCCAAUGGGAAGCUUGUCGGAGCUCCAGCUCCUCCAGGCAGCCAUAAGCAGCAGCGGACGUACUUCAGCAGCAUCACCAUCGUGGUGGACCGACCCAGACGGGCCUACAUCGAGGUGACCCCCAGGAAGGUCAUCCUGGACGGACGGGACCGCAUCGUCCUGCCCUGCCACUCCAGCGCUGCGGUGGACAGCGGCGUGCUGUCUGUGGCCAUCGUAGGGAAGGCCAAUGUGACCGUGACCAUCGGAGGAAACAUCAGCUUUGUCAUCUUGUUGCAUCACUACAAGAACCCGGCGCCUUACCAAACGGACCACCUGGGCUUCUACAUCGGCAACAGUAAGGGGCUGUCGGCCAACUGCCACGGUCUGCUGGGUCAGUUCCUGCACCAGGAAGUGGGUCUGGCGGAGCUUCCUGUUGAGGUGGGGGCUCAGCCGUCCACCGUCCUGAAGGUGAAGGAUCGGUCUGUGCCGGUGGUCCACAAAAGCAGGAGGAUCUACAGCGGCACGCAGAGCGUCGACUGCUGGUUCGCCCGCAACAACGCAGCCAAGCUGAUAGACGGCCGAUACGAGGACUAUGUGGCGCCGCACAUGUUUGACACGGGAGACUCGCCGCAGAGGACGAACCGGAUGUGAGGGGGCUUUGAAAAACCGACACAAAACUUUUUAAGCUUUUAUCACUUAAAGGAUGUUUUCCCACGCAGCUUAACCUGUCAGGAGGAUCCCACCUGGUUACCACGGAGACGUAACCCUUAUUGCUGUGAAGGGACACACACCUAACACACAGCAACACUUCCCUGUCAUCAGGUGGAGGUCACAGGGCUCCAGGCCCCGCCCCCACAGGUGUGUUCUGUCCAGGCCGUCUGUCAUCUCGCUGCCUCGCCGCAGGAAUUCAGCCGCAAACGCGGGUUCACCACGUGUCAAUCAUCUUUAUUCAAGUAUAGAGCGAUUCUCCUACACUGUAAAAAGUCAAACAUUUGAUCAAUUAGCACAAAUUCUGUCAUUUGGUAAAUUCAAAAUUAUUAGUUUUCAUCAAAUUAAAAUUUAGAGUUGAUGAUUUACUCAACUUAAAUAUAACAAAAGACAGAAUUUUUGCAAAUUGAUCCAAUAUUUUACUUUUUAUAAUGUAAAUGAACUAAAAUCUUCUCCUUUAAAAAUCGAAUUGACCACAAAUUGGACCAAAAAUAUAAAUAAAAGUUUUAAUAAACCACAGAUUUAACAUCCAAAACAUUUGGCCUGAAACGACAUUUACAUUUGAGUUCAUCUCUAUAAACACUUUAAAAAGUUUACAAAAUGAAACAGAAAAACUGAAAUUUUACAUUUAUGUUCCCAAAAUUUGCUGUCAUUUUCAUAAGUGUGUGUAUUCUAAUAUGGGAUGUUUAGGCAAAAUGACCUCAAAAACAAACACAAACGUCUGAUUUUUAUUGUUUUUGACUUUUAAAAAAAGAAAAGAACUUUGGUUACAUAAAAUGUUCUUAAAGCAAAUGAUUACUUUAAAAUCAGUGAGAAAAUAGCCCUUAAACACCAUAUCUAACAUGUAAAAUGAAAUAUUACAUUUAAUAUUAUUUUUACGUAUGAAAUAUUACAAGUUUAGAAUCCCGCCACUUUAAAGCAACAACAAAAAGAGUAAAAAAAGGUUCGAUUCCCUGUUUUCCUGGAAUUCAGACGGUCUGAACUCCGUCGUGUCGUGACCUUUCGACCUUUCCUCAUGAAUGUAACCUAAAAAAAAGGCUGAACACACGUGAAUUCAUACGACCUGAGCGAUCUCAGAAAUGUAAACAUGUUUUAUCCUGGAGCUGCAAACACCACCUGAGGAAUGACUGAGGCCGCAUCUCCAUUAAAGAAGGUGGUUUUACUCAAAAGUAGAGCAGGAACACAAUCUGUGAUAAAUGAGACCCAAAAAUUCCUGUUCUGUCUGUUAGAUUCUAGCCCUUGAGAUACUUAAUAAAAGUCUCCCUUCACACA